rnacentral:rRNA from 1 species
GACGAACGCUGGCGGCGUGCUUAACACAUGCAAGUGGAGCGACGAACCAGGCUUCGGCCUGGGGCAGAGCCGCGAACGGGUGAGUAACACGUGGGUAACCCACCCGAUGACCGGGACAACCCGAGGAAACUCGGGCUAAUACCGGAUGAGCUCUCAUGCCAUGAGGGAUGAGAGGAAAGAUAGCUUUGGCCUUCGCAUCGGGACGGGCCCGCGGCGCAUUAGCUUGUUGGUGGGGAAAGGCCUACCAAGGCUACGAUGCGUAGCUGGUCUGAGAGGACGAUCAGCCACACUGGGACUGAGACACGGCCCAGACUCCUACGGGAGGCAGCAGUGGGGAAUCUUGCACAAUGCGCGAAAGCGUGAUGCAGCAACGCCGCGUGGGGGAAGAAGGCCUCGGUUGUAACCC